rnacentral:tRNA from 1 species
AAGAGAUUAGUUUAAUAAAAAUAUUAAUCUGUCAGAUUCAAGAUGUAAUUGUUACAUUUCUUU